AGGGUACACGAACUCCACUUCUUCCACCAGCCACCCUCCCCUCUGCGCCCAGCUUGUGGAACACCUCCACACCAUCUUCGGAGCCGCCUGCUGCUGAGGAACAUCAUGUGGGCUACUUCCAAGCAUGAUGUGUACGUGAUGUAGAACUAUUCUGUGAUGCAUUGGUCGUCCUUACUCCGCAAAGGAAAAGAAGUGCUCAACGUGGCAGGCCCAAAUCAGGAUAUGCAGGGAGGUCGGCCCUUGUCCAGGGGAAGAUCAGCACCAUGACGGUGAAAGACAACCUCGGCAGUGCCUUCUAGCAAGAUUUCAAUCAUAAUCUGUGCAUACUUGUUUAUGAUAUGUGUGUGCCUCCAUCAAUCCUCUUUGGCAUCAUAGGAUACAAGAUACCAAGACUAGCAGUUCUUGUCUUGCUCAUGUUUUGUGAUCUCAGCUUAUCUAAUAAAACUGGCAAUUAUAGGAUACAAGAUACCAUAACUACAUAACUGGGGUCAUUUGCGUUACUGUAGUUGUGC